GUCGAACGGGCUCUUCGGAGCAAGUGGCGGACGGGUGAGUAACGCCCUGAGAAUGUGCCUUCAGGAUGGGGAUAACAAUAGGAAACUAAUGCUAAGACCCAAUGUGCCUUAAGUGGUGAAAAAUGAAAAUUGCCUGAAGAGGAGCUCGCGUCUGAUUAGCUAGUUGGGGUGGUAAAAGCGCACCAAGGCAACGAUCAGUAGCUGGUCUGAGAGGAUGAGCAGCCACACUGGGACUGAGACACGGCCCAGACUCCUACGGGAGGCAGCAGUGGGGAAUUUUCCGCAAUGGGCGAAAGCCUGACGGAGCAAUACCGCGUGAGGGAGGAAGGCUCUUGGGUUGUAAACCUCAAAACUUAGGGAAGAAAAAAAUGACGGUACCUAAUUUAAGCAUCGGCUAACUCCGUG
rnacentral:rRNA from 1 species